rnacentral:rRNA from 1 species
UACGAAGGGGGCUAGCGUUGCUCGGAAUCACUGGGCGUAAAGCGCACGUAGGCGGACUCUUAAGUCGGUGGUGAAAUCCUGGAGCUCAACUCCAGAACUGCCUUCGAUACUGAGAGUCUCGAGUCCGAGAGAGGUGAGUGGAACUGCGAGUGUAGAGGUGAAAUUCGUAGAUAUUCGCAAGAACACCAGUGGCGAAGGCGGCUCACUGGUCCAUUACUGACGCUGAGGUGCGAAAGCGUGGGAGCAAACAGGG